rnacentral:rRNA from 1 species
UACAGAGGAUGCAAGCGUUAUCCGGAAUGAUUGGGCGUAAAGCGUCUGUGGGUGGCUUUUUAAGUCCGCCGUCAAAUCCCAGGGCUCAACUCUGGACAGGCGGUGGAAACUACCAAGCUGGAGUACGGUAGGGGCAGAGGGAAUUUCCGGUGGAGCGGUGAAAUGCGUAGAGAUCGGGAAGAACACCCGUGGCGAAGGCGGUGUGCUGGGUUGCAACUGACGCUGAGAUGCGAAAGUGUGGGGAGCAAACGGG